AAUGAGUUAUACGCAAGUCUUC
rnacentral:tRNA from 1 species